CAUGUCUUUUUGUUUAUGAUUUAAAGUCUGACCUGCUCGAUGAGUUUUAAAUUGCCGCAGUAUUUUGACUGUGCAAAGGUAGCAUAAUAAUUAGUUUCUUAAUUAGGAGCUUGAAUGAAUGGUUUAACAAGAAAACUUCUGUCUCUACUUUAUUUUUUAUUGAAUUUUAUUUUUAAGUUAAAAGGCUUAAAUUUUUUUAAAAGACGAGAAGACCCUAUAGAGUUUUAUUGUUUAAUUUAGUUAAUUAUUAGAAAUUAAGCUGUAUUAGAUUAUUUGGUUGGGGUGACUCAUGGAUUAUACAAAUUCUUUGAUUAUUUAAUUGUUGAUUUUUAAAUUUAUUUUCUGUGUUUUCAAGUUUAAAUAAAAUUACCUUAGGGAUAACAGCGUAAUUUUCUUUUAAAGUUCAUAUUAAAAGGAGAGUUUGCGACCUCGAUGUUGGAUUAAAAUAAAUUUUUGGUGCAGUAACUUAGUAAUUAGGUCUGUUCGACCUUUAAAAUUUUACAUGAUCUGAGUUUAGACCGGCGUGAGCCAGGUUAGAUUCUAUCUUUAGGAUUUUAUGAUAUUUUAGUACGAAAGGACCAAGUAUUGAUUAAAUUAAUUGU
rnacentral:rRNA from 1 species